CUCCCCUGAAGCUCUCUGGCCUCUCCCCGCGCAAUCCGAGCGGUUCAAAACCUUUCUUCUGCCUGAGGUGAAGGGCAGUGUGGAUGCAGCACACCUCGCAUUUCCGUGCACUGACACGGAGUGGGCUUCGCUUCGAGCCUGGAAAAGAGAUUUCUCCCACUGCACCUGAGGCAGCAGCAGGAUUGUCUCUGGUUACCUGGCAUACGUAGGCAGCAAGGUCCUGCAUCACCUGUGCUGCUCCCCAGCACUUGCCACUUCACUUUGCCCUAGAGUAGUAUAAGGGGAAUAAUUUGGAUAUAUUAUCCGUUCAUUGUAAAAGAGAUUCGGAGGAUCUAACACGCACAAACUAUAUGUGACUCCCCUCUAUUUUAACUCUAUUUUAACUUGUAACAAAAACGUUUUCACCAGAUUGGGUUGUGAUUGCUGUGUCCGUUGAUGUUACGAAUGUUGUUAUGGCCUUUGAUGAGUGCAAUCAACAUUUUGAUGAGGAAGAAGAUAUAUAAUAAGGCUGUUUCUGUGCUUGUUGGAGCCGCUUGUGCCCACACAUCUAUUAUUAGCACUGAGGAUGGGGAUGAACAUGAAACACCUUGCCUAUUAAGUCUUCAGUGCAAUACUUUUCCUGAUGGGAAUUCGCCUCCACAAAGGCUUGACAGCUGUAGCACCUGGAUGUCUUUGGGCUCAACUGGUGGACCUGAGUAAUAACAGACUGCUGGACACUAAGGGCUUCCACACUUCGUCUUAAAAGUGAAGAUAACAAUAGCUUACCAGUGGCCUGCUGCAACAGCUAAGUCUUACUGAACAUAUGGUAGUGUGGAAGACAAUUUGAUCUCUUCAGGGAAGGAGUUCCAUAGCCUUGCAAUGUCCCCCUGAGCCAUAUUGCCUGAGGACAACACAAGCGAAGCAGUCCCUGCAGAUCACAAAACUCAGGCUGGCUAGUUCUACGCUGGGUUCUCCUUGAGUCCUAAGUCAUGUAUGACUUUGCAAGCUGUUUGCAGUUCCCACUUGUAACAGUUUACAAUUAAUUACAUAUUCACAGAACUUCAGUUUGUAUAAGAACUUCAGUUUGUAUAAGAACUUCAGUUUGUAUAAGAACUUCUUUCUCAUAAAGCCCAGAAAUUCAAAAACCUUA